UUCAGGGAAUUCCAGCAAGCUGGGUAUACCGCAAACACCCAGAAAUACCCUUGUGCUGUCAGGCCUGGAAUGGGUAUUGCCAUCACAGUACUUGAACAUUCAGUUGCUCCAUCUCAGAUGUUCCCCAGUCCACAAAGCAAAACCACCUACCUUCCUGAUCCUUCUGGCCACGGAAGCAGAUCUGGCCACAAGAUCUUCUGAAGUCUCAUCUCCUGGUUUCUGAGUCUGCUACGAACUGCUUAAGACAGGAAUUUCUCAAUGACAAAUUGUGGGCAAACUGAUGACAUUCCUUGUGCCCAUCUUACUUGACUUGGAGCUUUUGUAUUGCUGCUGUAUUUGUCCACAUGCUGAAAACCAACAGAAGUAUAUCACAUUAUUUCUUUAAAUAAAAUAAACAUAUGAAACAAAAGCCACCAAAAUCAAAAUAAGAAGGCAAAUCAUCAAGUUAGUGAUGCCAAGUGAGGAAGAUUCUGCUUAGUUGCUAUGACAAAACCAGAGAAAAAGACACAUGGUUGAUAGAAAAUGAUGUCACUUCUAGUGUCUAUUCCUCAAUUCUUUUCUGUGUUUUUAUCCCACCCGGGGAAGAUUUGAGAGGAGAAAAAGGAGUUGUAUGUGUUUGUUCUGUUUUACAUGUAUCUUUGUGUUACAGCACAAUAUAUGCACACAGGCAUUUAAUACAAAUUAAUAGACUUCCAGAGAAUUAAUUUCUAUCAUAAGAUUUCCUCUUUAUGAUUGCCAAUUUGGCAGCCUCCUGCAGUGCUUAAUAUUACAUCUGCUUAACAGGCCAGAUGAUAAUACUGUGAACUCUACCAAAAUUAUUUGCUGAACAAUGGAGCAGGUGGCUGUGAAAAUAAAUGUAUUACUGAAAAGGAACAUUACUGAACCUUCCAUAUGAUGUAAAAUCACAUA